GAUGAACGCUGGCGGCGUGCCUAAUACAUGCAAGUCGAGCGAACAGACGAGAGUGCUUGCACUCUCUGACGUUAGCGGCGGACGGGUGAGUAACACGUGGGUAACCUACCUAUAAGACUGGGAUAACUUCGGGAAACCGGAGCUAAUACCGGAUAAUAUUUAGCUUCGCAUGAAGCAAUAGUGAAAGACGGUUCUGCUGUCACUUAUAGAUGGACCCGCGGUGUAUUAGCUAGUUGGUGAGGUAACGGCUCACCAAGGCAACGAUACAUAGCCGACCUGAGAGGGUGAUCGGCCACACUGAGACUGGGACACGGCCCAGACUCCUACGGGAGGCAGCAGUAGGGAAUCUUCCGCAAUGGACGAAAGUCUGACGGAGCAAUGCCGCGUGAGUGAAGAAGGUUUUCGGAUCGUAAAACUCUGUUGUAAGGGAAGAACAAGUACGUUAGUAACUGAACGUACCUUGACGGUACCUUACCAGAAAGCCACGGCUAACUACGUG
rnacentral:rRNA from 1 species